UACGAAGGGAGCUAGCGUUGCUCGGAAUCACUGGGCGUAAAGGGUGCGUAGGCGGGUCUUUAAGUCAGGGGGGAAAUCCUGGAGCUCAACUCCAGAACUGCCUUUGAUACUGAGGAUCUUGAGUUCGGGAGAGGUGAGUGGAACUGCGAGUGUAGAGGUGAAAUUCGUAGAUAUUCGCAAGAACACCAGUGGCGAAGGCGGCUCACUGGCCCGAUACUGACGCUGAGGCACGAAAGCGUGGGGAGCAAACAGG
rnacentral:rRNA from 1 species